UUCUGACGCUCAGGCACGAAAGCCUGGGGAGCAAACAGGAUUAGAUACCCUGGUAGUCCACGCCGUAAACGAUGUGCACUAGAUUCGAGAGGCUCUGACGCCAUUCGGGUCGAAGCAAAAGUGUUAAGUGCACCGCCUGGGGAGUACGGUCGCAAGGCUAAAACUCAAAGGAAUUGACGGGGGCUCACACAAGCGGUGGAGCAUGUGGCUUAAUUCGAAGCAACGCGAAGAACCUUAUCCUGGGUUUGACAUGCACGGAUACCCUCGCCGAAAGGCGAGUAAGCUGCCCAUUCGGGUGAAACGUGCACAGGUGCUGCAUGGCUGUCGUCAGCUCGUGCUGUGAAGUGUUGGGUUAAGUCCCUUAACGAGCGAAACCCCUGUCGCUAGUUGCUAACAGGUCUCCGGACGCUGAGGACUCUAGCGAGACUGCCGGUGUCAAACCGGAGGAAGGCGGGGAUGACGUCAAGUCCUCAUGGCCUUUAUGCCCAGGGCUGCACACGUGCUACAAUGGCGUGAACAGAGCGACGCAAUACCGUAAGGUGGAGCAAAUCGCAAAAAUCACGCCCCAGUUCGGAUCGAGGUCUGCAACUCGACCUCGUGAAGGUGGAAUCGCUAGUAAUCGCGCAUCAGCAAUGGCGCGGUGAUACGUUCCUGAGCCUUGUACACACCGCCCGUCAAGUCAUGGAAGCCGGGAGUGCCACAAAGUCGCACCGUUUCGGGUGUGCCUACGGCAAG
rnacentral:rRNA from 1 species